rnacentral:tRNA from 1 species
UGCAGUACGAGUGGGUGUUCUAGUCGGGCUCAUAACCCGGUCAGGCCAGUUCAAAUCUGGCUACUGCG